UUUAACUACAAUUCUAUAAUAACUUUAUUUUGUUGUGUUUUGCAGAAAAAUUAAAAGACAUUCAUCUCUAUCUAACAAGAAUAAGAAAACAGUAAAAGAAGAUCAAACUCAGAAGGAGAAAUUAAUAACGCGGAAAACAACGG